GACGGAGGGUGCUAGCGUUGUUCGGAAUUACUGGGCGUAAAGGGCGCGUAGGCGGCCGCUUGCGUCGGAUGUGAAAGCCCGGGGCUCAACCCCGGAACGGCAUCCGAUACGGGGUGGCUCGAGACCGGGAGAGGAGGGUGGAAUACCCAGUGUAGAGGUGAAAUUCGUAGAUAUUGGGUGGAACACCGGUGGCGAAAGCGGCUCUCUGGCCCGGUUCUGACGCUGAGGCGCGAAAGCGGUGGGGAGCAAACAGG
rnacentral:rRNA from 1 species